AGACACGGCCCAGACUCCUACGGGAGGCAGCAGUAGGGAAUCUUCCACAAUGGGCGAAAGCCUGAUGGAGCAACGCCGCGUGAGUGAAGAAGGUUUUCGGAUCGUAAAACUCUGUUGUAAGGGAAGAACAAGUACAGUAGUAACUGGCUGUACCUUGACGGUACCUUAUUAGAAAGCCACGGCUAACUACGUGCCAGCAGCCGCGGUAAUACGUAGGCGGCAAGCGUUGUCCGGAAUUAUUGGGCGUAAAGCGCGCGCAGGUGGUCCUUUAAGUCUGAUGUGAAAGCCCACGGCUCAACCGUGGAGGGUCAUUGGAAACUGGGGGACUUGAGUGCAGAAGAGGAAAGUGGAAUUCCAAGUGUAGCGGUGAAAUGCGUAGAGAUUUGGAGGAACACCAGUGGCGAAGGCGACUUUCUGGUCUGUAACUGACACUGAGGCGCGAAAGCGUGGGGAGCAAACAGGAUUAGAUACCCUGGUAGUCCACGCCGUAAAC
rnacentral:rRNA from 1 species